GUACCCAAUGGGACAUGGAACCUUCCCAUCCCUUCCUUCAUACCUUGCCUUGUACCUCUCUUCAGUGUGUCUCUUCCUGAGUUGUAUCCUUUUGCAAUAGGUUGGGUGAGUCAGGAAAGCAUUUCUGUGACCUCUGUGAAGACUUCUAGCAAAGGAUGGAUCCCAAAAGGAUUGUGAGAGCCUUGGAUUUGCAGCCAAAUCAGACAGAGGGCAUUUUAAAGUGGAAACUCUGUUCACAGUUCAUGGGCCAUGUAAAGGCAGGUGCACACCAGCUCGCCCUAGAGGUCACAGUCUGCUGGCUCCAUAUUAGAGCAAAGCAUACCAGACGUUUCUGUGAUACUGAGAAGUGAGAGAGGGCCUUGGCCAGAGCCCACUCCCUUAGACAGCACGAGGACUGGCCGGGGGACCUUUCCUCUGCCCAGCGCCUGGGCUGAUGUCGCUGGUGAGCCUCGGAAAGGAGCUUCCUCCUCCCCCGAGGACUACUUAACUGGCAGGUGGAAUGAAAGGAGUUUUGUCUGAGAUGUGUACUGUAAAAUCCAGCUCACGUGGGAAGAUCGUCGCGAAUAAAGAGCUCCUGCUUGCAUCUUGAAAUG
rnacentral:lncRNA from 1 species